UACUUCGUUAUGAGAUUCAUUAAAGAGAUAAUUUUUUAUCCUACAAUUAUUGCUUCAAAGUUUGGUGAUAAAAAAACAUAUUCUCAAGUAGAAUUCGAUGAAAUUAGAGGAGAAUGGGCUACUUUUGUGCUACAACUAAUCAUGAAUCAUGUUGAUGCAUCAUGAUCACCAUGCAUGGUAUACACUCUUGGGAGGGUGAAAUGGAGAAUAAAAAGAAAGAAGAAGGCAACAAGAUUUUGG